rnacentral:rRNA from 1 species
CCUACGGGGGGCAGCAGUGGGGAAUAUUGGACAAUGGGGGCAACCCUGAUCCAGCCAUGCCGCGUGUGUGAAGAAGGCCCUCGGGUUGUAAAGCACUUUCAGUGAGGAAGAACGCCUGGUGGUUAAUACCCAUCAGGAAAGACAUCAUUCACAGAAGAAGCACCGGCUAACUCCGUGCCAGCAGCCGCGGUAAUACGGAGGGUGCGAGCGUUAAUCGGAAUUACUGGGCGUAAAGCGCGCGUAGGUGGCUUGAUAAGCCGGUUGUGAAAGCCCCGGGCUCAACCUGGGAACGGCAUCCGGAACUGUCAAGCUAGAGUGCAGGAGAGGAAGGUAGAAUUCCCGGUGUAGCGGUGAAAUGCGUAGAGAUCGGGAGGAAUACCAGUGGCGAAGGCGGCCUUCUGGACUGACACUGACACUGAGGUGCGAAAGCGUGGGUAGCAAACAGGAUUAGAUACCCGAGUAGUC